rnacentral:rRNA from 1 species
UACGUAGGGUGCGAGCGUUGCCCGGAUUUAUUGGGCGUAAAGGGCGCGUAGGCGGUUUGUCGCGUCGGGAGUGAAAACUCAGGGCUUAACCCUGAGCCUGCUUCCGAUACGGGCAGACUAGAGGUAUGCAGGGGAGAACGGAAUUCCUGGUGUAGCGGUGAAAUGCGCAGAUAUCAGGAGGAACACCGGUGGCGAAGGCGGGUCUCUGGGCCGAUACUGACGCUGAGGAGCGAAAGCGUGGGGAGCGAACAGG